GACGAACGCUGGCGGCGUGCUUAGCACAUGCAAGUCGAACGGUGAUCUUUGGGGCUUGCUCCGGGGUGAUCAGUGGCGAACGGGUGAGUAACACGUGAGUAACCUGCCCCAGACUCUGGGAUAACCCCGGGAAACCGGAGCUAAUACCGGAUAUGACACGGAGAGGCAUCUCUAUCGUGUGGAAAGUUUUUCGGUCUGGGAUGGACUCGCGGCCUAUCAGCUUGUUGGUGAGGUAAUGGCUCACCAAGGCGACGACGGGUAGCCGGCCUGAGAGGGCGACCGGCCACACUGGGACUGAGACACGGCCCAGACUCCUACGGGAGGCAGCAGUGGGGAAUAUUGCACAAUGGGCGGAAGCCUGAUGCAGCGACGCCGCGUGAGGGAUGAAGGCCUUCGGGUUGUAAACCUCUUUCAACAGGGAAGAAGCGGUCGGGUUUUCUUGGUCGUGACGGUACCUGCAGAAGAAGCACCGGCUAACUACGUGCCAGCAGCCGCGGUAAUACGUAGGGUGCGAGCGUUGUCCGGAAUUAUUGGGCGUAAAGAGCUUGUAGGCGGUUUGUCGCGUCUGCUGUGAAAUUUCGGGGCUCAACCCCGAACUUGCAGUGGGUACGGGCAGACUAGAGUGUGGUAGGGGAGACUGGAAUUCCUGGUGUAGCGGUGAAAUGCGCAGAUAUCAGGAGGAACACCGAUGGCGAAGGCAGGUCUCUGGGCCACUACUGACGCUGAGAAGCGAAAGCAUGGGGAGCGAACAGGAUUAGAUACCCUGGUAGUCCAUGCCGUAAACGUCGGGAACUAGGUGUGGGCCUCAUUCCACGAGGUCCGUGCCGCAGCUAACGCAUUAAGUUCCCCGCCUGGGGAGUACGGCCGCAAGGCUAAAACUCAAAGGAAUUGACGGGGGCCCGCACAAGCGGCGGAGCAUGCGGAUUAAUUCGAUGCAACGCGAAGAACCUUACCAAGGCUUGACAUAUGCCGGAAACAUCCAGAGAUGGGUGCCCCGCAAGGUCGGUAUACAGGUGGUGCAUGGUUGUCGUCAGCUCGUGUCGUGAGAUGUUGGGUUAAGUCCCGCAACGAGCGCAACCCUCGUUCUAUGUUGCCAGCGCGUGAUGGCGGGGACUCAUAGGAGACUGCCGGGGUCAACUCGGAGGAAGGUGGGGAUGACGUCAAAUCAUCAUGCCCCUUAUGUCUUGGGCUUCACGCAUGCUACAAUGGCCGGUACAAAGGGCUGCGAUACCGUAAGGUGGAGCGAAUCCCAAAAAACCGGUCUCAGUUCGGAUUGGGGUCUGCAACUCGACCCCAUGAAGUCGGAGUCGCUAGUAAUCGCAGAUCAGCAACGCUGCGGUGAAUACGUUCCCGGGCCU
rnacentral:rRNA from 1 species